UGAGCGGGAAACGGUCUCAGAGAAUAGGUGGCUGCGACUGUUUAUUAAAAACACAGCACUCUGCAAAGUCGAAAGACGACGUAUAGGGUGUGAUGCCUGCCCGGUGCUGGAAGAUUAAUUGAUGGGGUGAGAGCCCUUGAUCGAAGUCCCAGUAAACGGCGGCCGUAACUAUAACGGUCCUAAGGUAGCGAAAUUCCUUGUCGGGUAAGUUCCGACCUGCACGAAUGGCAUAACGAUGGCCACACUGUCUCCUCCCGAGACUCAGUGAAGUUGAAAUGUUUGUGAUGAUGCAAUCUACCCGCGGCUAGACGGAAAGACCCCAUGAACCUUUACUGCAGCUUUGCAUUGAACUGUGAACCGAUUUGUGUAGGAUAGGUGGGAGGCAGAGAAGAGGCCACGCCAGUGGCCUUGGAGCCGACCUUGAAAUACCACCCUGAUUUGUUUGCGGUUCUAACCACGGACAGUGAUCCUGUCUUGGGACCGUGCAUGGUAGGCAGUUUGACUGGGGCGGUCUCCUCCUAAAGGGUAACGGAGGAGUACGAAGGUACGCUAGGUACGGUCGGAAAUCGUGCUGAUAGUGCAAUGGCAAAAGCGUGCUUGACUGCGAGAGCAACAACUCGAGCAGAUGCGAAAGCAGGUCAUAGUGAUCCGGUGGCUCUGAAUGGAAGGGCCAUCGCUCAACGGAUAAAAGGUACUCUGGGGAUAACAGGCUGAUACCGCCCAAGAGUUCAUAUCGACGGCGGUGUUUGGCACCUCGAUGUCGGCUCAUCUCAUCCUGGGGCUGUAGUCGGUCCCAAGGGUAUGGCUGUUCGCCAUUUAAAGAGGUACGUGAGCUGGGUUUAAAACGUCGUGAGACAGUUUGGUCCCUAUCUGCCGUGGGCGUUGGAAGAUUGACGGGGGCUGCUCCUAGUACGAGAGGACCGGAGUGGACGCACCUCUGGUGUACCGGUUGUCACGCCAGUGGCAUUGCCGGGUAGCUAAGUGCGGAAGAGAUAACCGCUGAAAGCAUCUAAGCGGGAAACUUGCCUGAAGAUGAGUCUUCCCGGAGGUUGAACCUCCCUCAAGAGUCGUCCGAGACCAGGACGUCGAUAGGUCAGGUGUGUAAGCGCUGUAAGGCGUUGAGCUAACUGAUACUAAUUGCUCGUGAGGCUUGAUCCUAUAACC
rnacentral:rRNA from 1 species